UCUGGUGGGGACAGGGGAGAAAUGGAACUAUUUUCAGAUGUGUGUGAACUCUGUGGAUUGCUUCUUUUCAGCCGUCUUUACCUGUCCUCAGUAAUUUCCUCACACAUACGUGUCCUUGUCAGCUGUCAGCUGUGCUUCUAGAAACAUAUUCUAUCUUCAGAAUCAAACUGGCGUCAGUGCUGAGAUCUAAGCCACAAGCUCAUGCUAGGAGAAAUAUUCUUACCUUGAAAAAACACAUACAAUUUAUUAAAUCAAAGAAAUCAGCAACAGCUGUGUGGAAGAUAAAGAUAAAGAAGAAAUAAUUUGUGGAAGAAAUAUUUUGGGACAGUACACUUUCCUCCUCUGGCAACUUUCCCUUAAUACAUACAAAAGAAAGAAAUGGGUCAGCAUCCCCACUCCGGAAUGGUUGCGUAAGCAAGAGGAGUCUUUUAAAGGUGAGAGUGGAUGUAGGUAUUUAGAUUUGGGUCUCUCGUGGGCCUAAGUGUCUCCUGUUCAUGUGCCUUCUCUAG